rnacentral:rRNA from 1 species
GCCGAUCCGCCGCCAUCCGCCCGAGGAUGGGGGCACGGCCCAUCAGGUAGUUGGCGGGUUAAAGGCCCGCCAAGCCGAAGACGGGUAGGGGCGGUGAGAGCCGCGAGCCCCGAGAUCGGCACUGAGACAAGGGCCGAGGCCCUACGGGGUGCAGCAGGCGCGAAUACUCCGCAAUGCGGGCAACCGCGACGGGGCUACCCCGAGUGCCGGGCGAAGAGCCCGGCUUUUGCCCGGUCUAAAAAGCCGGGAGAAUAAGCGGGGGGCAAGUCUGGUGUCAGCCGCCGCGGUAAUACCAGCUCCGCGAGUGGUCGGGGUGUUUACUGGGCUUAAAGCGCCCGUAGCCGGCCCGGCAAGUCGCUCCUGAAAUCCCCGGGCUCAACCCGGGGGCGGGGGGCGAUACUGCCGGGCUAGGGGGCGGGAGAGGCCGCCGGUACUCCGGGGGUAGGGGCGAAAUCCGUUAAUCCCCGGAGGACCACCAGUGGCGAAAGCGGGCGGCCAGAACGCGCCCGACGGUGAGGGGCGAAAGCCGGGGGAGCAAAGGGGAUUAGAUACCCCUGUAGUCCCGGCCGUAAACGAUGCGGGCUAGCUGUCGGCCGGGCUUAGGGCCCGGCCGGUGGCGAAGGGAAACCGUUAAGCCCGCCGCCUGGGGAGUACGGCCGCAAGGCUGAAACUUAAAGGAAUUGGCGGGGGGGCACCACAAGGGGUGAAGCUUGCGGCUUAAUUGGAGUCAACGCCGGG